AUUGAACGCUGGCGGCAUGCCUUACACAUGCAAGUCGAACGGCAGCGGGCCUUCGGGUGCCGGCGAGUGGCGGACGGGUGAGUAAUGCAUCGGAACGUGCCAUUGAGUGGGGGAUAACGUAGCGAAAGUUGCGCUAAUACCGCAUAUUCUGUGAGCAGGAAAGCAGGGGACCGCAAGGCCUUGCGCUCUUUGAGCGGCCGAUGUCAGAUUAGCUAGUUGGUGAGGUAAAGGCUUACCAAGGCGACGAUCUGUAGCGGGUCUGAGAGGAUGAUCCGCCACACUGGAACUGAGACACGGUCCAGACUCCUACGGGAGGCAGCAGUGGGGAAUUUGGACAAUGGGGCAACCCUGAUCCAGCCAUGCCGCGUGAGUGAAGAAGGCCUUCGGGUUGUAAAGCUCUUUCGGCCGGGAAGAAAUCGCAUGGGUGAAUACCCUGUGUGGAUGACGGUACCGGAACAAGAAGCACCGGCUAACUACGUG
rnacentral:rRNA from 1 species